rnacentral:rRNA from 1 species
GUGCCAGACUCCUACGGGAGGCAGCAGUGGGGAAUAUUGCACAAUGGGGGAAACCCUGAUGCAGCGACGCCGCGUGAGUGAAGAAGUAUUUCGGUAUGUAAAUCUCUAUCAGCAGGGAAGAAGUUGACGGUACCUGAGUAAGAAGCCCCGGCUAACUACGUGCCAGCAGCCGCGGUAAUACGUAGGGGGCAAGCGUUAUCCGGAUUUACUGGGUGUAAAGGGAGCGUAGACGGCAGUGCAAGUCUGAAGUGAAAGCCCCGGGCUUAACCCGGGAAUUGCUUUGGAAACUGUACGGCUGGAGUGCUGGAGAGGUAAGCGGAAUUCCUAGUGUAGCGGUGAAAUGCGUAGAUAUUAGGAGGAACACCAGUGGCGAAGGCGGCUUACGGGACAGUAGCUGACGUUGAGGCUCGAAAGCGUGGGGAGCAAACAGGAUUAGAUACCCUCG